rnacentral:tRNA from 1 species
GGGGUUGUGGUUCAGUGGUAGAACACACGCCUAAUGCGUGAAGCACUGGGUUCGAUCCUCAGCACCACA